rnacentral:rRNA from 1 species
AUUGAACGCUGGCGGAAUGCUUUACACAUGCAAGUCGAACGGCAGCACGGGUGCUUGCACCUGGUGGCGAGUGGCGAACGGGUGAGUAAUACAUCGGAACGUACCCAGUCGUGGGGGAUAACGUAGCGAAAGUUACGCUAAUACCGCAUACGUCCUGAGGGAGAAAGCGGGGGACCGUAAGGCCUCGCGCGAUUGGAGCGGCCGAUGUCUGAUUAGCUAGUUGGUGAGGUAAAGGCUCACCAAGGCGACGAUCAGUAGCUGGUCUGAUAGGAUGAUCAGCCACACUGGAACUGAGACACGGUCCAGACUCCUACGGGAGGCAGCAGUGGGGAAUUUUGGACAAUGGGCGAAAGCCUGAUCCAGCCAUUCCGCGUGAGUGAAGAAGGCCUUCGGGUUGUAAAGCUCUUUCGGCAGGAACGAAACGCUCUAGAUUAAUACCCUGGGGUAAUGACGGUACCUGAAGAAGAAGCACCGGCUAACUACGUGCCAGCCGCCGCCGUAA